AAGACUAAACUUUCAGGGAUCCUCCUCUCUAUAAUUCGUUAUUGGAGAAGUUUCUCUGAUCACGUGGAGUGCCCCAAACCACAAGGAGGAGCCAGAGCUUUCUCUCCUGAGUGUGAGGUUGGUUCUAGGUGUUGUUUUUGCAACCGCCUUUUACCAUAGAUGCUCGUUCUCUUCUUCCUUUGGAAGAGUUUGAGGGAGAGGCUGUAGUCUGAGUGGU